rnacentral:lncRNA from 1 species
UUCAUAGCAAGUUGAUACGCCGAGUUGAUGCAAGACUUUCUUCUUCACUUUUACCCCUUUGAAACCUACCACAAUAUUAUUUUCCACCUUUAUGAUAUAUCCAUGGUUCACGCUCAUGUAUUGAGUGCGUAAUAAAAAGCUGAAGCGUGAUAAAAAGUAUGAUCCAAUUGCUUGAUUUCACACUGGGGUGCUCAUGAUUUAUACCUUAUGCUAGGAAACCAAGCAUGACUAGCUAUAUGAUUUUGUAGGGAUAGCUUUCUUUAGUGUUGAUAUUUUGAAAGACACGAUUAUUUGUUGGAUGCCUCGGUAUUAAUGUCUUUAUGUCGAAUGAUAGACUAUUGCCUUGAAUCACUUGUAUCUUAAUAUUUAUGCCAUGAUUAGAUAUAUGAUAAAUAUUAUGCUAGGUAGCAUUGCACAUCAAAAAUUAUCUUCUUUAUCAUUGACCUACUCGAGGAUGAGCAGGAAUUAAGCUUGGGGAUGCUGAUACGUCUCUGUGGUAUCUAUAAUUUUUUAUUGUACCAUGCCAAUAUUAUACAACUUUCACAUAUUUUUUGCAACAUUUUAUAUGGUUUAUUGGACUAACAUAUUGAUAU